ensembl:rRNA 5S_rRNA 5S ribosomal RNA
GUCUAUGUUCAUCCCACCGUGAACAUGCCCAACCUCAUCUGAUCUCAGAAGUUAAGCAGGGUUGGGCCUGGUUAGUACUUGGCUGGGAGGACUCCAGAGACUGCUUUCACUAGCUC